GUAGGAGGCGAGCGUUAUCCGGAUUCACUGGGCGUAAAGCGCAUGUAGGCGGUUGGACAAGUCCUGUAUGAAAGCCCCUGGCUCAACUGGGGGAGGUUAUGGGAGACUGUACGACUGGAGGGUAACAGAGGUCGGUGGGAACUCCUGGUGUAGCGGUGAAAUGCGCAGAUAUCAGGAGGAAUACCGGUGGCGAAGGCGGCUAUCUGGCCAUGUACUGACGCUGAGACACGAAAGCGUGGGGAGCAAACAGG
rnacentral:rRNA from 1 species